rnacentral:rRNA from 1 species
CGUAGGUGGCAAACGUUGUCCGGAUUUAUUGGGGCGUAAAGGGAGCGCAGGCGGUUUAUUAAGUCUGAUGUGAAAGCCUUCGGCUUAACCGGAGAAGUGCAUCGGAAACUGAUAAACUUGAGUGCAGAAAAGGAUAGUGGAACUUCAUGUGUAGCGGUGAAAUGCGUAGAUAUAUGAAGGAACACCAGUGGCGAAGGCGGCUAUCUGGUCUGUAACUGACGCUGAGGCUCGAAAACAUGGGGUAGCAAACAGGAUU